GAUGAACGCUAGCGGCAGGCUUAAUACAUGCAAGUCGUGGGGCAGCGCAGUGUAGCAAUACAUGGGCGGCGACCGGCAAACGGGUGCGUAACACGUACGCAACCUUCCCGUUACUGGGGAAUAGCCCAGGGAAACUUGGAUUAAUACCCCAUAUUAUAUUGAUUGGGCAUCUAAUUAAUAUCAAAGCUUCGGCGGUAACGGAUGGGCGUGCGGUUGAUUAGGUAGUUGGCGGGGUAACGGCCCACCAAGCCUACGAUCAAUAGCUGAUGUGAGAGCAUGAUCAGCCACACGGGCACUGAGACACGGGCCCGACUCCUACGGGAGGCAGCAGUAAGGAAUAUUGGGCAAUGGACGAAAGUCUGACCCAGCCAUGCCGCGUGGAGGAUGAAGGUCCUCUGGAUUGUAAACUUCUUUUUUCUGGGGCGAAAACCGGUUUUUCUAAACCAUUUGACAGUACCAGAAGAAUAAGCACCGGCUAACUCCGUGUCAGCAGCAGCCGCAGUAA
rnacentral:rRNA from 1 species